ensembl:lncRNA
UAUUGAUCUGUGACUGACGCUGUCUAUGGAAAUAAGAGCAUCUCUGAGUGGACAUGCCAUUAAGACCAUAGAUGAAACUGUGGUUAAGGCUUCUCCCACGCUACAUAGCGAUAACCAGGGCACGCAGUCCGGAGAUGAUGGAACAGAUGCAGGCCAAGUCACAACUAAAGAAACGAUUCAUGAACUAACACAACCCACCAUCACUAUAGAUUACAUUGACAACCUGGACACCACGACAAUGGAGGAGGAAGGUGUUCUUGGCCCAGGUGCCAUCACAGCCAUUGUCAUCGCUGUGUUCCUCGGUGCCUCUGUUCUCCUCGCCCUCAUCGUCAUCACACUCAGAAAAUUCACUGCCACUUAGAGCAGGAUGACCACCUGUUUUAAACCUCCCUCUCUCUCUCUCUCUCUCUCUCUCUCUCUCUCUCUCUCUCUCUCUCUCACUCUCUCUCACACACACACACUUACUCGUAUAUUUGUCUUCUUCAACUUUUGGCAUGUCCCCUAUAGUUGGCAUAUGAGUGGUGACAUGACCCAAUAAUUUGUGGAAACUGUUACAACUAAGCCAUGACUGAGGCUAUUUUCACUUGAUGAUGGUCAUUUCAUUUCUCAUAUGUCCAAAAAUUCUUCAACACAAGUUAGUAGGUUUUCUAGAUUUAACUUGACAACUUUAACUCACCCUUGAUCAUACUUUUUGCUUUUAAUGUUAUUGGUUUCUGUUUUCUGAGAUGUGCAUUAUUUGGCGUGGUAAAUAAGACACUUAAAUUCAACUUAUAUUCUAUAUUUUUCAAUGGCCUUUCUCUCUAAAAAUGUCAUUGUGAAAUUACAUAAAAUCACACUAGACUUUAGAAAGUAAACAGAUGCCUGCAUGUUCAAAUGUCUAGAUUUGCAAAGAAACAGUGCACAUCUAACAUGCAUGUAACAAUCUUAAAAAUUUGAGGUGUGAGAGAGAGUGCAAGCAUGAGCAUGUGUGUGUUGUGUUUUCAGACAAAGUGGGAGAAAAAUACUAUGCAGAACAGAAUCAAUGCAUUUUAUAUAUAUAUAUAUA